AGUGUCUACUCAGACAAUGUCUACUAAACUUGGAAUGAUACAGAGAAGAUGAGCAUGGCCCCUGAGCAAGGUUGACACACAAAUUCAUUAAUCGUUCCUUAUUUUA